GAUGAACGCUGGCGGCGUGCUUAACACAUGCAAGUCGAACGAAGCACCUUGAUUUGAUUCUUCGGAUGAAGAUCUUGGUGACUGAGUGGCGGACGGGUGAGUAACGCGUGGGUAACCUGCCUCAUACAGGGGGAUAACAGUUAGAAAUGACUGCUAAUACCGCAUAAGACCACAGCACCGCAUGGUGCAGGGGUAAAAACUCCGGUGGUAUGAGAUGGACCCGCGUCUGAUUAGGUAGUUGGUGGGGUAACGGCCUACCAAGCCGACGAUCAGUAGCCGACCUGAGAGGGUGACCGGCCACAUUGGGACUGAGACACGGCCCAAACUCCUACGGGAAGCAGCAGUGGGGAAUAUUGCACAAUGGGGGAAACCCUGAUGCAGCGACGCCGCGUGAGCGAUGAAGUAUUUCGGUAUGUAAAGCUCUAUCAGCAGGGAAGAAAAUGACGGUACCUGACUAAGAAGCACCGGCUAAAUACGUG
rnacentral:rRNA from 1 species